rnacentral:rRNA from 1 species
AGGAAUGUAUAGCAAUAGCUAGUUGCAUCGUUAUAAAGAUGAUGCAAGAUUGACUAUGUUGAAUAAAAUUCUAGGUAGAAUUAUGAUAAUGACAUUGUCUGCCUAUGUGUCUUGACCAAAUUACGUGCCAGCAGUCGCGGUAAUACGUAGAAGACUAGUGUUAUUCAUGUUUAUUCGGUUUAAAGGGUACCUAGACGACAGAUCAAGCUUUCUGAGAAGAAAAAAAAUAGAAUAAAGGACUAAUCUGAUUAGAGUUACUUAUGAGGGGGUUUUAAAGUACUGCUGGUGUAGAGAUGAAAUUCUGUCAUACCUCUUUCUGAAAGGGAAAUUACGGCACAGGUAUAGGCGAAGGCAUCCCCUUAUGUGAUAACUGACGUUGAGGGACGAAGGCUUUAGAUAACGAACAGGAUUAGAUACCCUAGUAGUCGAAGCAGAAAAUGAUGAAUGUCAUAGAUUAGAUGUAUAAGUUUAUUCUAUAAAUGAAAGUGUAAGCAUUCCACCUCAUGAGUAAUUUGGCAACAUUGGAAUUGAAAUCAUUAGACCGUUUCUGAAACCAGUAGUGAAGUAUGUUGUUUAAUUAGAUGAUGCGCAAAAAACCUUACCACAAUUUGAAUAUUUAUAUUAUUUGUUGUAUUGUUAUCAAUUAUCUUGUUAGAUUAAAAUCCCCUACUAAUAUCUAGAUAUACAAUUUAAAUAGAUUAUAAAAGAGAUAAAUAAUCAUGUAAGAUAAUUAAUAAUGAGGCAAUGAGAUAUAUUUACAAGCGUUGCACGGCUGUCUUCAGUUAAUGUCGCGAGAUUUUGGUUAGAUCCAUUAAAUUAACGUAAACCCUUACUUUAUUUUUUAUAUAGAGUUGUCCCGCUAUAUUGGAUACGAUAACA